rnacentral:lncRNA from 1 species
UCAGUGUCUGCCCUAAAAGGCUUCUAAUCUAGCAGAAAGGGUGACAAAUAAAAAGGCAAUUACAAUAUAAUGUGGAGAAUGAUUAAGUGCCUGAUUCGGCUUAAAUCAGAAGAUAAGCUAAAAUGCAUUUCAAGUAUUUCAGGUUUUCAGCUGCUUCGAGAGUAGCAGACACCAAUUAGCUUCCUGACUGGCUCUGGGGUGUGGAGAGAGGCAAGUUGUGGCACCUCAGGGCACCGGAGCAGCCCUCUGUCCCCACAGGCACUCGGCAUGCUGACAGGUCUGGAAAAGGACUGUCAUACCCUAAAGAAAAGGAGGACUCAUUCGGCUGACCUUAGGGAGUAAAAUGUCCCCUGAAACCUUUUGGACCCCUAGAAGGUUCCUCAGGGGCUUCUGCUGGAAAAAAGCUGAAGAGGCAACUUGUAAACAGUUAAGUCAAGAUGCACUUAAAAAGAAAAUCUCAGAACUAGGUCAGAAUUGGACAGGGGGAAAGAACCAUCUGGAUGUGUUAUGAAGCUUUUCAGAAACUGUUUUCAUGAUUUUUAUCACCGACAUCUAUUGGAGUAAUGUUAUUUUUUUAUUUGAAUAUUUAAUUUUCAAAGUUAAAACCUGAGAAAUAGAAGCAUUUUAUCUUUCA